rnacentral:rRNA from 1 species
ACGCACGCUGGCGGCGUGCUUCACCCCUGCAAGUCGAACGGAAAGGCCCUGCUUUUGUGGGGUGCUCGAGUGGCGAACGGGUGAGUAACACGUGAGUAACCUGCCCUUGACUUUGGGAUAACUUCAGGAAACUGGGGCUAAUACCGGAUAGGAGCUCCUGCUGCAUGGUGGGGGUUGGAAAGUUUCGGCGGUUGGGGAUGGACUCGCGGCUUAUCAGCUUGUUGGUGGGGUAGUGGCUUACCAAGGCUUUGACGGGUAGCCGGCCUGAGAGGGUGACCGGCCACAUUGGGACUGAGAUACGGCCCAGACUCCUACGGGAGGCAGCAGUGGGGAAUAUUGCACAAUGGGCGGAAGCCUGAUGCAGCAACGCCGCGUGCGGGAUGACGGCCUUCGGGUUGUAAACCGCUUUCGCCUGUGACGAAGCGUGAGUGACGGUAAUGGAUAAAGAAGCACCGGCUAACUACGUG